rnacentral:lncRNA from 1 species
UUGGAAUUGAAUCCAGCUCUUUAUAAUUACCCCCUUUUUUUCUCCCUAUUUUUUAUUUCCUUACCAUCCUAAUGUGUUUAAUGCAUAUCUUUGUUUAUAUGUAGUUUCUGCAAAAUGUACAUUGUCUUGUGUACACAUACUUUUCAUUUAUAUAAAGAUAUAAGAUCGGGGCGCCUGGCUGGCUCAGUCGGUAGAGCGUGCAACUCUUGAUCUCGGAGUUGUAAGUUUGAGCCGCCUGUUGGGUGUAGAGAUUAGUUAAAAAUAAAAUCUUUUAAAAAAUGAUAUAAGGGGUGCCUGGGUGGCUCAGUCGGGUAAGCCGCCUUCGGCUCAAGUCAUGAUCCCGGGGUCCUGGGAUCUUCUGCUUCUCCCUCUGCCCCUCCCCCCGCUCGUUCUCUCUCUCUCUCUCUUUCUUAAAUAAAAUCUUUUAAAAAUGAUACAAAUUGUGUAUCUCCUUCUGAUGUAUUUUCUUUCUUAUUAUUAUCCAUCUGUGCUGCUGUAGGUUUCCUUACACGUACAUCAUCCAUCCGGUGAAUAUCCACCGCGUGUCCCCUGCCCUCUCUCCCAGGUUGGACAUUCAAGUUACGCCCACGGAUGCCACAAAGGUUGCAUACAGAUUUCUACGGACCUGCGCAUUUCACUGGCCUGCAGAAUACCUGAACUGAUGAGCUGUUCCAGAGGGAGGCCGUCCCCUGGCAUCGUGGGAAUUGCUGAGGUGAUGAACAGUGGCUGCCCAUCCCUGCUUGGAUGGCAGGGGAUUCUGGCUCCCAUUCUCACAGCACGUAAUCCUGGCUGUCUCUGUGGGAACAUGAAGGUUAGACCCAUGGCAGCUGAGGCUGGUGACAAGGCUUCUAUUCUUCACCUCUUCUGCAUGCUCGGAGCCCUGCACGACAGAAGCGCUGUCACCUAUGUCAGCAGUGAAUACAAAACACACGAUUCUCAAAAAAGGCUGUUUACAUGGAGAAGAAACGAGAUCCGGAACACGGUGUCCUGUCUGCGAAGCAAAAUGCACAUGUCCUAGGAGGAGGCAGAGGUCUUAUUUCCAAAGACUCAGUGGAUGGUAAUUCCAGCUGUUUGAAUUUAGGGCCCUGGAAAGUUCCUUGGAAGGGAAAUCGAGGGUGUUGCCUCUUUGUGGUUGGAUUUGUUCUCCUCGGAUGUAGCAAUUAAAUAAAGCCCAGGAAUGGCUGAUUUUUCUUGAAUUC